rnacentral:siRNA from 1 species
UGCAUUUCAUCAUUUGAUAGCGC